UAAGUCCUUUGUUAUCUCUUUGAAAUGAAUAUGGCUAAUAGUGUACCAAGUUGCACGGACUUGCCUGCAGUGUUUGAACCAGUCCCAUAUACAUUUUGCUUGAUUCUUUUUCCCUUCAUCAUUUUCUCAUGUCAUCCCGGCUUAUAGAGAAAGUCAAGCAUUAACAGAUGAUGGGAAUAGAAGAGCAUUGUGCUUCAGGAUAGUGAUCUUACAGUGCACAUCUGGAGCAGUCUGCCUAAACCUUGAUUUGCAAUGGUGGUUAAGGGCAUCAGAUGUCAUCACUCAGACAAACACAAUGUGUUAUGUGGAAGAAAUCACAAUGCAUACAAAACAUGCCACAUGAUCACAAAUAAAGCCAUGCAUCAUUUGUUGA